rfam:Ramazzottius varieornatus DNA, contig: Scaffold011, strain: YOKOZTNA-1.
GGGCGUUUAGCUCAGUGGUAGAGCGCUCGCUUUGCAUGCGAGAUGCCGUGGGUUCGAUCCCCACAACGUCCA